GAUGAACGCUGGCGGCGUGCCUAAUACAUGCAAGUAGAACGCUGAAGGAGGAGCUUGCUCUUCUGGAUGAGUUGCGAACGGGUGAGUAACGCGUAGAUAACCUGCCUGGUAGCGGGGGAUAACUAUUGGAAACGAUAGCUAAUACCGCAUGACAACAGUUAUUGCAUGAUAACUGUCUAAAAGUGGCAAAUGCUCCACUACCAGAUGGACCUGCGUUGUCUUAGCUAGUUGGUGAGGUAAGGGCUCACCAAGGCGACGAUACAUAGCCGACCGGCGAGGGUGGACGGCCACACUGGGACUGGGACACGGCCCACACUCCUACGGGAGGCAGCAGUAGGGAAUCUGCGGCAAUGGACGGAAGUCUGACCGAGCAACGCCGCGUGAGUGGAGAAGGAUUUCGGAUCGUAAAGCUCUGUUGUCUGAGAAGAACGAGUGUGAGAGUUGAAUGUUCACACUGUGACGGUAUCUGAACAGAAAGCGACGGCUAACUACGUG
rnacentral:rRNA from 1 species